AUGUCUGCAUCGCCCCACCCACAGCCAUGUGAGGAUACAGCAUCUGUGGCAACAAGGAGCCAUCUUGGGAGCAGAGAGCAAGCUCUUCCAGACACUGAAUCUGCCAGCACCUUGAUCUUGGUCCAGCCUUCAGAAGUAUGUCCAGAAGGCUUGUUGGGGGAAUAUUGUCAACAUCGAGACCCCUAUGAGAAGAACCGCUGCCAGAAUGGUGGGACUUGUGUGGCCCAGGCCAUGCUGGGGAAAGCCACGUGCCGAUGUGCCUCAGGGUUUACAGGAGAGGACUGCCAGUACUCGACAUCUCAUCCAUGCUUUGUGUCUCGACCCUGCCUCAAUGGCGGCACAUGCCAUAUGCUCAGCCGGGAUACCUAUGAGUGCACCUGUCAAGUCGGGUUUACAGGUAAGGAGUGCCAAUGGACCGAUGCCUGCCUGUCUCAUCCCUGUGCAAAUGGAAGUACCUGUACCACUGUGGCCAACCAGUUCUCCUGCAAAUGCCUCACAGGCUUCACAGGGCAGAAGUGUGAGACUGAUGUCAAUGAGUGUGACAUUCCAGGACACUGCCAGGAUGGUGGCACCUGCCUCAACCUGCCUGGUUCCUACCAGUGCCAGUGCCCUCAGGGCUUCACAGGCCAGUACUGUGACAGCUUGUAUGUGCCUUGUGCACCCUCGCCUUGUGUCAAUGGAGGCACCUGUCGGCAGACUGGUGACUUCACUUUUGAGUGCAGCUGCCUUCCAGUUCUCCUUUUUUCAGAAAUGAGGUAUAGGGGAGAGAAACACGUACUUGGAAAGAAUUGACCCAGCUGAAUUGGAAAAUGUGGGAAGGGGAUGGGGAAGAGGCUGCUCCACCUGAGAUCUGGCUCCAGGACUUACAGCAAGGGGAACUUGGGCAAGUUACAGACUCUCUAUGCCUCAGUUUCUUUAUCAGCAAAACAGAAUCAUCCCAUAAACUAUAAGGUCAAUGGUAUCAGCGGGUCCCCAAACUGACUGCACAUCUGAGUCAUGUUAACAAACACAUUCCAGGCCCCACCUGAGCCCUCUGAAUCAGAAUCCCUGUAAGGAGGACGAUGAACUUGAAUUUGCACUGACUUUCCCAGCUGUUUCUUACUCUGAUCAACUUGGGGGUAGGACCCAUUGAGCUGCAUCACAUCAUUCCAAAGCCAAAACACAACAGCAGGACAAGAAUAUUUUCAAGGCAGUCUCUAAAGCAGAGGAGAAACUGUUGAGGGAACCUAGAAGUAAAGGAGAUCUGGCUUGCUGGGCUCCAUUUGAACUUUGAGUACAACAGAGACAUGAGCCCUUCGGGACACAUGCCUGAGGUAGUGACAGUCCAACUUUGGAAGAGUGGAAGCCCUAGUUUCAAAUUCAAGCAUGCUUUGAGUAGAAAUUAAGUUUACCUCUUUUUGCACAGCAACAUGGCCAAUCUUUCCUAAGCUGCUCAGCUUACAAGAAAAGGAAUCAUACUGCUAAGAAUUCAAACUUCAGCAGUCAUAGUGCUGAAAACUCAUCCCUUUGUGACCUCAAGUAACCCAUGACACUUUGUGAACCUGCAGUUUUUUCAUUUAGAAACGACAGAUUUUCAUUCUGACACAGAAUGUCAGGUCUCCCAGACCCUAGAAAAUACAUUGACUUAAAGGCUUUGAUACAUCUCAAAGCAGUAUCCUUACAGUGUCACUGGAAGAUGGUGCGGGCUGCAGAGAGGGAUGCUUUCAAAUGGGAUUAACCAGUCCUCCUUCCUUCACUUCCACAUGAAUGCUGGGCAGCCCAGGGUCAACCCACUGCACCCUCAACUCAGGCAAGUCCAGCAGCCAAUCUUAGGAGACCUGGGCUACAGAACAGUCUCUCAAGUUCCAGGCUCACAAAACCUAGGUGGGGAUGAAAGCUGAGAAAGCGAAGAGGUGGUUCAGGGGAUCACUCUUUCCUACUUGUUCCUCUCACCUCAAACUCACCUUCUACUGCACUGCAACACUGAGGAUCGCCAACCAACCCUGACCAUAACCUUGAUCUUGCCAUGUUCUGUUAGUGGAAUGCAACCCAAAAUCAAUGGUGUUAGGUCAUCUCAACAAAAUAUAUAUCAAACCAUAUUCCAUAAGAACUGCUCGUGGCCCUGUUCUUUUCAGUAUAUGGGAAAACAAAAUGGAAACAACAAAAUAGCAUCAGGUUUACAAAACUUCCCAAGAUAGAUGGUCACACAUGUUUUCAGGAGACCUCUAUAUAAAUGACUUUGAUCACUUGAUACCUUGAAAAGAGGUCUUGUGGCACUAGAAUGACAUCUAUAAGUGACAAGUAUAAAAUGUAGUGCUCAGUGACAUUAAAAAACAAAUCAACCCACAUAGAGGAAGAGCUUUGGACGUAGGGAUGUCAAACUGGUCUAGAAUGUAAUGAAAACCCAAGAAGGUGCCCCAGUAAGAAAGAAGAAAUCAGUCUAACAAUGGGAUGCAGCAGCAAGAA